AUCUGAAGAAAAUGACAAACAACAUUAAAUUCAUCUGGACUCUCCUGCUCUGUAUUACAGUAUGCAGAGGCCAGUAUACUGUGACUCAGACUCCAGCAGUGAAAGCUGCUCUUGUGGGACAAACCAUCACACUCAACUGCAGGACCAGCAGCCUCAUCUGGAGUGACCGCUUUUCCUGGUACCUCCAGAAACCUGGAGAAGCUCCUAAACUGUUAAUGUAUUAUAUAAGCACCCGCUCUGGAUCAACUCCCAGUCGCUUUGUUGGUGGAGGAUCCAGUGGUGGCAGUGACUUCACUCUGACCAUCAGUGAUGUCCAGGCUGAGGAUGCAGGAGUUUACUACUGUCAGAGUCUCCAUAGUGGCCCAGUGUUCACACAGUGA